ACCUUGGUGGUGUAACGGUUAACACACUCGGCGCGUAUUCGAGAGGUCCAGGUUCGAGUCCCGGCGAGGGCA
rnacentral:tRNA from 1 species